rnacentral:rRNA from 1 species
GGUUAAGCGACUAAGCGUACACGGUGGAUGCCCUGGCAGUCAGAGGCGAUGAAGGACGUGCUAAUCUGCGAUAAGCGUCGGUAAGGUGAUAUGAACCGUUAUAACCGGCGAUUUCCGAAUGGGGAAACCCAGUGUGUUUCGACACACUAUCAUUAACUGAAUCCAUAGGUUAAUGAGGCGAACCGGGGGAACUGAAACAUCUAAGUACCCCGAGGAAAAGAAAUCAACCGAGAUUCCCCCAGUAGCGGCGAGCGAACGGGGAGCAGCCCAGAGCCUGAAUCAGUGUGUGUGUUAGUGGAAGCGUCUGGAAAGGCGCGCGAUACAGGGUGACAGCCCCGUACACAAAAAUGCACAUGCUGUGAGCUCGAUGAGUAGGGCGGGACACGUGGUAUCCUGUCUGAAUAUGGGGGGACCAUCCUCCAAGGCUAAAUACUCCUGACUGACCGAUAGUGAACCAGUACCGUGAGGGAAAGGCGAAAAGAACCCCGGCGAGGGGAGUGAAAAAGAACCUGAAACCGUGUACGUACAAGCAGUGGGAGCACGCUUAGGCGUGUGACUGCGUACCUUUUGUAUAAUGGGUCAGCGACUUAUAUUCUGUAGCAAGGUUAACCGAAUAGGGGAGCCGAAGGGAAACCGAGUCUUAACUGGGCGUUAAGUUGCAGGGUAUAGACCCGAAACCCGGUGAUCUAGCCAUGGGCAGGUUGAAGGUUGGGUAACACUAACUGGAGGACCGAACCGACUAAUGUUGAAAAAUUAGCGGAUGACUUGUGGCUGGGGGUGAAAGGCCAAUCAAACCGGGAGAUAGCUGGUUCUCCCCGAAAGCUAUUUAGGUAGCGCCUCGUGAAUUCAUCUCCGGGGGUAGAGCACUGUUUCGGCAAGGGGGUCAUCCCGACUUACCAACCCGAUGCAAACUGCGAAUACCGGAGAAUGUUAUCACGGGAGACACACGGCGGGUGCUAACGUCCGUCGUGAAGAGGGAAACAACCCAGACCGCCAGCUAAGGUCCCAAAGUCAUGGUUAAGUGGGAAACGAUGUGGGAAGGCCCAGACAGCCAGGAUGUUGGCUUAGAAGCAGCCAUCAUUUAAAGAAAGCGUAAUAGCUCACUGGUCGAGUCGGCCUGCGCGGAAGAUGUAACGGGGCUAAACCAUGCACCGAAGCUGCGGCAGCGACGCUUAUGCGUUGUUGGGUAGGGGAGCGUUCUGUAAGCCUGUGAAGGUGUGCUGUGAGGCAUGCUGGAGGUAUCAGAAGUGCGAAUGCUGACAUAAGUAACGAUAAAGCGGGUGAAAAGCCCGCUCGCCGGAAGACCAAGGGUUCCUGUCCAACGUUAAUCGGGGCAGGGUGAGUCGACCCCUAAGGCGAGGCCGAAAGGCGUAGUCGAUGGGAAACAGGUUAAUAUUCCUGUACUUGGUGUUACUGCGAAGGGGGGACGGAGAAGGCUAUGUUGGCCGGGCGACGGUUGUCCCGGUUUAAGCGUGUAGGCUGGUUUUCCAGGCAAAUCCGGAAAAUCAAGGCUGAGGCGUGAUGACGAGGCACUACGGUGCUGAAGCAACAAAUGCCCUGCUUCCAGGAAAAGCCUCUAAGCAUCAGGUAACAUCAAAUCGUACCCCAAACCGACACAGGUGGUCAGGUAGAGAAUACCAAGGCGCUUGAGAGAACUCGGGUGAAGGAACUAGGCAAAAUGGUGCCGUAACUUCGGGAGAAGGCACGCUGAUACGUAGGUGAAGUCCCUCGCGGAUGGAGCUGAAAUCAGUCGAAGAUACCAGCUGGCUGCAACUGUUUAUUAAAAACACAGCACUGUGCAAACACGAAAGUGGACGUAUACGGUGUGACGCCUGCCCGGUGCCGGAAGGUUAAUUGAUGGGGUCAGCGCAAGCGAAGCUCUUGAUCGAAGCCCCGGUAAACGGCGGCCGUAACUAUAACGGUCCUAAGGUAGCGAAAUUCCUUGUCGGGUAAGUUCCGACCUGCACGAAUGGCGUAAUGAUGGCCAGGCUGUCUCCACCCGAGACUCAGUGAAAUUGAACUCGCUGUGAAGAUGCAGUGUACCCGCGGCAAGACGGAAAGACCCCGUGAACCUUUACUAUAGCUUGACACUGAACAUUGAGCCUUGAUG